AGUUUCUUUACCUAGGAGUUCCUUAUAUCAAAGAAGUCACCUAUUCUUAGAAUGAAGACUCCAAGUUCAACAUUGCUACAUCUAGCUUCUUCAAUAACCAAAGCCUACUAGCAACUGGUGAGAUUUUUCAAUAUCUCCUCAGGGAUCACUGAUGAUGGCUCAGAAAUCACAUCUACCAGUUCUUUUGGUUGUUCAUCUAGGCCAGGGUACUCAUCUACUCAGAUUUUUUUAAAGACACAGAAGGUGGAAGCAAGAACAAUUAA
rnacentral:lncRNA from 1 species